AGUCGAACGGUAACAGGCCGCAAGGUGCUGACGAGUGGCGAACGGGUGAGUAAUACAUCGGAACGUGCCCGAGAGUGGGGGAUAACGGAGCGAAAGCUUUGCUAAUACCGCAUACGAUCUACGGAUGAAAGCAGGGGACCGCAAGGCCUUGCGCUCAUGGAGCGGCCGAUGGCAGAUUAGGUAGUUGGUGGGAUAAAAGCUUACCAAGCCGACGAUCUGUAGCUGGUCUGAGAGGACGACCAGCCACACUGGGACUGAGACACGGCCCAGACUCCUACGGGAGGCAGCAGUGGGGAAUUUUGGACAAUGGGCGAAAGCCUGAUCCAGCCAUGCCGCGUGCAGGAUGAAGGCCUUCGGGUUGUAAACUGCUUUUGUACGGAACGAAAAGACUCUGGUUAAUACCUGGGGUCCAUGACGGUACCGUAAGAAUAAGCACCGGCUAACUACGUGCCAGCAGCCGCGGUAAUACGUAGGGUGCAAGCGUUAAUCGGAAUUACUGGGCGUAAAGCGUGCGCAGGCGGUUAUAUAAGACAGAUGUGAAAUCCCCGGGCUCAACCUGGGAACUGCAUUUGUGACUGUAUAGCUAGAGUACGGUAGAGGGGGAUGGAAUUCCGCGUGUAGCAGUGAAAUGCGUAGAUAUGCGGAGGAACACCGAUGGCGAAGGCAAUCCCCUGGACCUGUACUGACGCUCAUGCACGAAAGCGUGGGGAGCAAACAGG
rnacentral:rRNA from 1 species